UACGGGAGGCAGCAGUGGGGAAUAUUGCACAAUGGGCGAAAGCCUGAUGCAGCUAUGCCGCGUGUAUGAAGAAGGCCUUAGGGUUGUAAAGUACUUUCAUCGGGGAGGAAAAAACAAAACUAAUAAUUUUAUUUCUUGACGUUACCCGAAAAAGAAGCACCGGCUAACUCCGUGCCAGCAGCCGCGGUAAUACGGAGGGUGCUAGCGUUAAUCAGAAUUACUGGGCGUAAAGAGCACGUAGGUGGUUUUUUUAAAGUCAGAUGUGAAAUCCCUGGGCUUAACCUAGGAACUGCAUUUUGAAACUGAAAUACUAGAGUAUCGUAGAGGGAGGUAGAAUUCUAGGUGUAGCGGUGAAAUGCGUAGAUAUCUGGAGGAAUACCUGCGGCGAAAGCGGCCUCCUAAACGAAUACUGACACUGAGGGUGCGAAAGCGUGGGGAGCAAACAGGGAUUAGAUACC
rnacentral:rRNA from 1 species